UACGAAGGGGGCUAGCGUUGUUCGGAAUACUGGGCGUAAAGCGCGCGCAGGCGGCCAUUCAAGUCAGGGGUGAAAGCCCAGAGCUCAACUCUGGAACUGCCCUUGAAACUGUAUGGCUUGAGUAUGAGAGAGGUGAGUGGAAUUCCCAGUGUAGAGGUGAAAUUCGUAGAUAUUGGGGAAGAACACCGGUGGCGAAGGCGGGGUCUCUGGGCCGAUACUGACGCUGAGGAGCGAAAGCGUGGGGAGCAAACAGG
rnacentral:rRNA from 1 species